AGCGAACGCUGGCGGCAGGCCUAACACAUGCAAGUCGAACGGAUCCUUCGGGAUUAGUGGCGGACGGGUGAGUAACACGUGGGAACGUGCCCUUUGGUUCGGAACAACUCAGGGAAACUUGAGCUAAUACCGGAUGUGCCCUUCGGGGGAAAGAUUUAUCGCCAUUGGAGCGGCCCGCGUCUGAUUAGCUAGUUGGUGAGGUAAAGGCUCACCAAGGCGACGAUCAGUAGCUGGUCUGAGAGGAUGAUCAGCCACAUUGGGACUGAGACACGGCCCAGACUCCUACGGGAGGCAGCAGUGGGGAAUCUUGCGCAAUGGGCGAAAGACUGACGCAGCCAUGCCGCGUGAAUGAUGAAGGUCUUAGGAUUGUAAAAUUCUUUCACCGGGGACGAUAAUGACGGUACCCGGAGAAGAAGCCCCGGCUAACUUCGUGCCAGCAGCCGCCGUAAGAC
rnacentral:rRNA from 1 species